CUCGCUGCUAAGCUAUCACAGCCAAUCUAUCGCUGCUAAUCUAUCGCUGCCAACCUAUCUACCGCGGCGAAUCUAUCUAUCGCUGCCAAUUUAUCUACCACUGCCAAUCUAUCUAUCGCUGCCAAUCUAUUGCUGCUAAUCUAUCGCUGCUAAUCUAUCGCUGCUGCCAAUCUAUCUUUCGCUGCUAAUCUAUCGCCGCUGCCAAUCUAUCCCUCGCUGCUAAGCUAUCGCCGCUGCCAAUCUAUCCCUCGCUGCUAAGCUAUCCCUCGCUGCUAAGCUAUCCCUCACUGCUAAGCUAUCUCUAGCUGCUAAGCUAUCCCUCACUGCUAAGCUAUCCCUCGCUGCUAAGCUAUCCCUCACUACUAAGCUAUCUAUCACUGCUAAUCUAUCGCUGCCAACCUAUCUAUCACUGCCAAUCUAUCUAUCGCUGCUAAUCUAUCGCUGCUAAUCUAUCGCUGCUAAUCUAUCGCUGCUAAUCUAUCGCUGCCAACCUAUCUACCGCGGCGAAUCUAUCUAUCACUAUCAUUACUAGUUCAAAAUAGAACUAGAGCAUAAAUACACUAAACUUCUUUUGAUAGGUAAUGAUUUUUGGUAACACUCAUAGCAUUAUAUCAUCUAUAUAGGGUAAAUCAUGGUCCCAUUUGGUCCCAUUUUAACAAAAUGGGACCAAAUGGGACCAGAAUCAGUAAUUUAUAAGAAGAACAUGACCUGGG
rnacentral:sRNA from 1 species